rnacentral:rRNA from 1 species
UACGGAGGGUGCGAGCGUUGUCCGGAAUCAUUGGGCGUAAAGGGUGUGUAGGUGGCGCCGUAAGUCGGGUGUGAAAUUUCGGAGCUUAACUCCGAAACUGCAUUCGAUACUGCGGUGCUUGAGGACUGGAGAGGAGACUGGAAUUCAUGGUGUAGCAGUGAAAUGCGUAGAGAUCAUGAGGAAGACCAGUGGCGAAGGCGGGUCUCUGGACAGUUCCUGACACUGAGACACGAAGGCCAGGGGAGCAAACGGG